AUGGCAUCUGGAAGCCGCGGCGACAUGGACGGGAGGCGAUGGUCGGACCUUCCAGCGGACGUGCUCCGCGAGGUAUCCGGCCGCGUGCGCGCCGCGGCCGACUUCGUCAGCUUCCACGCCGUCUGCAAGAAAUGGCGCGGCUCGCGCGACCCGCCAUCCCGGGCGAGGGCAACCAGGACGCAAUUCCUGCCAUGGCUCCUCGCGCCGCCGGACGAAGAACCCGACCACCUGAAGUUCAGGUGCGUCUUCUCCAAGGCCAGCUACCGCGUGGUGCCCCCGUCGCCCGUGCCCCGGCGAAACUGGGUGUGCAGCACGGACGGCGCCGGCGUGUGGUAUCUGGCCGUCGACGAACACCUCCGCCCUAGCCUCCACGAUCCUCUCACCGGAGCCGUCGCCCACCUGCCCACCUUCCCGUGGGGGGAGGGGUUCAACCCCUGCGGCGUCAUCUACGACGACGGCACCACUUUCCUCCACAGCUACAAUGAACGUGGAUGGUUCAGGGCGGCUCUCCUGCGUCCCGGUGAUGCCGAGUGGACGGCCGUCGAGAGGACCCUUGAAGCACCUUCGAUUUGGUACCGUGAGUUCUGCGCCACGUACCACGGUGGCAAGAUCAUGGUGACCGCUGAUGCUAGCCUGUGGCACGUACUCACGCCUGAUGGUGAUGAUGGUGACGACGUGUUGGUACCAAGUCCGCCACCAUGUCUGCCGUCGGAGGAAGAGCCCUCCUCGCGCCAGUACAGCCAUGUCCUCGAGUCUUGCGGCGAGCUUUUGUGGGUGGUUGUCCAGGUCCAGUUGCGUAGUUACACUCCUAUGAGUGGCCUCAGACCUGUGCUCUCAGUGCUUGUGCACGCGCUAGGGGAGGAGACAACAUCGUCACUGGAGAAGAAGACACGGUGGGUGAGGAAAGAUGGCCAUAGCCUGACCGACCGCGUGCUGUUCCUCGGGUGGCCCAACAGCUUCGCCAUGGAUGCCUCGCAGCUGGGCGGUAGGGACGGCGGGUCGGCGUGUUCAGGUACAACCUCGUCGAUGACAAGAUCAUACUACGGUCGUCAAAACAAUCUUGAGUUGAUCGAGCGGCUGCCUCAAGGAUCGGAUGAGGGGAGGUGCACCUGGCUAGUACCCCAACCUGCUAUUGCUCCAAUUCAGGGCGUUGAAGACUCAAGAGCUGAAGCAGCGGCCGGUCUAGUUACUAGGCCAACACAUGUUGCUCACACCGAGAGACAUUACCAGCCUAGUUUUAGGGUGCUCGUCCGUAAUUUGCCUCUCAUUAUGGAGAACUCACAACUAAAACUCUUCUUUAGCAACCACGGCAAUGUGUCUAGCGCCGAGGUGAUCUACUACAAAAAGACCAAGCGCCCACAAGGCAUCGGCUUUCUAACAUUAUUGACGGCACAUGCCAAUAAGGAAGACGCUUUAGAUGCUCUGAACACAUUGUUUUUGGAUGGAUGUAGACUUGAGGUAAGCUCGGUGGGGCGGUGGCGACGACGGCCAUCUUCCAACAAAGUAGCCAGCCUCAGUGAGGACGUGGCCUACAGGAUGCCAAAUGCAUUUGAGAAGGUCUCAAGGCACCAACCAGGCGCCGAUGUCGCCCUCAGCCUCAUACUCCUCCACCCAACGAUUGGCCUAGAGACCAGUCGAGCAUGCAUCGGAGUGAAGCGGGCAUCCCAAUUCUGCCUAGGAGGGACCGGCGAGUCAACAGAGUGUCCACGCGGGUUGGGGCCGGGCUGGCGCUUUGAGGAUAUUACCUCCAUGGCUGCAAGGCAUGGGAGCCCGGGCAACGAUGGGACACGCGGGUCAGGGCUGCUGAGCGGUCGCUUGCCUUCAGGUCAAUGCGGACGAUGCCCAGCUGCCAUCGCACUCAUGUCAGCUAGACAUCACCGCCGUCUGACUGCUAUCCCAGGUCACUCCUCUCUCGACCUUGAUCUACCGAGCCGAGCCCCAAGACUUGAAAGCCUGCGGACAGUUUGGGUCGAAGCCAAAUCUGAAAGCAUCCAUCGCUGGAUCCUCUUCUCCAGUUCAUAG
rnacentral:rRNA from 1 species